AUGGAACGCUGGCGGCAGGCCGAACACAUGCAAGUCGAACGAGUGGCGGACGGGUGAGUAAUGUCUGGGAAACUGCCUGAUGGAGGGGGAUAACUAAUGGAAACGGUAGCUAAUACCGCAUACCAUCAGAUGUGCCCAGAUGGGAUUAGCUAGUUGGUGGGGUAAAGGCGCACCAAGGCGACGAUCCCUGAGUGGUCCGAGAGGAUGACCAGCCACCCUGGAACUGAGACACGGUCCAGCCUCCUCCGGGAGGCAGCAGUGGGGAAUAUUGCACAAUGGGCGCAAGCCUGAUGCAGCCAUGCCGCGUGUAUGAAGAAGGCCUUCGGGUUGUAAAGUACUUGCAGCGGGGAGGCGUUACCCGCAGAAGAAGCACCGGCUAACUCCGUGCCAGCCGCCGCGGUAAUAC
rnacentral:rRNA from 1 species